rnacentral:misc_RNA from 1 species
AAAAAAAAAAAAAAAAAAACCUCCUCACAUCCUCAAGUCCAUAUCAUUUUAAGAGGUAGAUAUAAGAGGAAGAAGACGAGGGGGACGAAGGUCGUGGAGGAGAGAGCUGGGAAGGAGAGGGCUGGAUAGAAAAUUAAAAAGAAACAAAAUAAUAUUUUUAUUCUUAUUAAGAGAGAGGGGUAAAAGAGUAAUUUUAAUUAUUUUUAACCUAUAAAUCUGCUAUUGCAAUUCAAAGUGACUUUUCUGAAAAUGGAACUUAAGUUGAGUGAUUUUAUUUUAAGAAAUUAAAGUUUGGGGAUGAAAAUGAAAAGAUCCCCUAAGUUCAGGGACGGUUGGUGCAAGUAAGCCCAAGAAAGGUAAAUGGACAUGCUGGCUUGAAAUUGGACAAUUUCUGUUGUGGUGAAUUGACUUGAAAUUGAUAACAAUGUGUUUCCUACUAUAAAAGUUUUCAAUAUAGCUAUUUUAGAUCUAAUAAAACAUAGAGAUGAACUUGUUGUUCACGAUCCAGUCUAAUCAGUAGAUGGUUUAAAGCAGGCAACUGACUUAGGAAGGGAUAGGCAUGGGAUAGAAAAGUUAGGAAUUUAACCUUGAUUUUGUGGAAUUCAGUACAGGAUUGAGCAUAAGUGACCUAUCAUUGUUUUACUAAUUAAGCCUUAAGCUUUACUAACUUUUGGCUCUUUCUCUCUUUUUUACUUGUUUUUUCUUUUGGUGUUUCUACCACAACCCCUUUUGGCAUAUUUUCAAGUUAUUUUUAUCUAUAAAAAAUGAAGAAAAUUAAACAUGUAAUAAAAGAAUAUUAGAACUAAAAGGACUCAAGAAUCAGGGUUCAGGGACUAUCAAACCCAGCAAUCUUAAUAUGAUGUAUUGUCAUGCAGACAGGUUGUAACACAUAUAGCACUGUUGGAAGUAUCAUGUUUUGUAUCCUACUGUUUAAUAUUGCUGCAGCCGCUUGCAGGUUUUCUGAAUUUUUGUGCAUUUGCAUUGUACUGUGGCAGGUAUUCUGUAUCUUUUGUUUCCA